UCCAGUUUUUGACUAUGAAAUUUGUGUUGAAAAAAUUUCUACUAAUUAACAAAUAGUUUCUAAUAGAAUAAACUGUUUCAUUGCAUCAUAAUUCUUUGGUCUAUGUUCAAUACAAUCGGCCCGGCCCAGUUUAUUGUUAUUGAGGUGCUGCCCGAAUACGUGCCAGCAUCCAUCCCUCCUAAGGCAGAUCGAAGAAGUGCUGUAAGUGAAAAUGGUGCCGCGUCGGCUUAAAUAGCGACGGAACAAUUUCAGGUAAGGAUAGUUGAGAUUGAUUGGGAGCGUCGGCAACCAGGUGAAGCUGACUGUGGUCGAUUCCAUUGGCUAAAAUAAGCUGGAGCAGAAUCGAUUAAAAUAUCUGGGAGGUAAUGUGCCAUCGGCAAACAGCUGUUGGUGCGCUCUCUCUCGAUCAGGUAAGCGACGGCAAUCAAAAACUGAAACAUGGUGGAUUGGAACAUAUUUCUCCAUGGAUGACCGUCUAUCAGAUUUAUUUUAAAUCGUGUGUGAAAAUUGUUAUUAAUUUUUUUGUUAUGGAUUGUUAAAAUUGAAUAUUAAAUUUGAGGUGAAAGCAA